rnacentral:rRNA from 1 species
GACGAACGCUGGCGGCGUGCUUAACACAUGCAAGUCGAACGGAAAGGCCCUGCUUUUGUGGGGUGCUCGAGUGGCGAACGGGUGAGUAACACGUGAGUAACCUUCCCUUGACUUUGGGAUAACUUCAGGAAACUGGGGCUAAUACCGGAUAGGAGCUCCUGCUGCAUGGUGGGGGUUGGAACGUUUCGGCGGUUGGGGAUGGACUCGCGGCUUAUCAGCUUGUUGGUGGGGUAGUGGCUUACCAAGGCUUUGACGGGUAGCCGGCCUGAGAGGGUGACCGGCAACAGGGGGACUGAGAGACGGCCAAGACGCCUACGGGAGGCAGGAGUGGGGAAUAUUGCACAAGGGGCGGAAGGCGGAUGGAGCAACGCCGGGUGCGGGAGGACGGCCUUCGGGUUGUAAACCGCUUUAGCCUGUGACGAAGCGUGAGUGACGGUAAUGGGUAAAGAAGCACCGGCUAACUACGU